GUGAAGGUGAGCACAGUUCUUCGUUGGCCUCAAUCGAAGUCUCUUAAAGCAUUCGAGGGUUCCAUGGUGUUAUAGGCUAUUGCCGGCGUUUUAUUAAGGAUUAUGGGAAGUUAGCUCAGCCUUUAACAACUCUUCUCAAAAAAAGAAAAUCAAGCUUCCUUUUCUUGGCCUUCCUGCAACCCAAGAAGCCUUUGUGAAUCUUCAGCGUGCUAUUACUUCUCUUGUUUUGGCUAUGUCGGACUUUCAGAAACCAUUUAUUAUUGAGUGUGAU
rnacentral:misc_RNA from 1 species